UUGCGGGGCCAUAAAUCCUGUAGCUCAAGAACAAGAGAUAAGUCUGAGUGGCCAAGUUUCCGGGUAGGGUGCGGAACGGGGCACACGCCAGCUUUAGAAUUCCACAUCGCAGGAAUUUGGUUGGAGGCUGUAACCCCGAUCCUUGUCCAGUAGGUCUCUUCAGCCCAACAUUCUUUUGACCGGAAGUGGCUCUGCUAACCAUCUGUUUGAUAAUUCUCAUCAGGUGGGAUGGCAAAAAAGUGUUGCAGCUGAAGAAAGAAUUACCGUUCUAUAGUUUACAACUAUAGGGAAUUACCGCCAACGGAGCGAGCGGGAUUCUAGGUACUUCAAGAUAUUCUGAGUGGGACACGACGCUCUUGAAAAAAGCUUUGAGAUCGGUUCCGGAUUCCUUAAAUCAGAUAGAAAAAAACUCCAGCUGAAAUGGAGGAGGAAAGGGAACAGCUCUCAGUACGAGAAGGCGGGUACUGCUCAGGAAACUGGUGUAGCGCCACCACACUUUCCUGGGCGCGCGUCGGUCCCACCGGUGGCCGACCAAGUAGGGAUACUUGUAGCGCAUGUCGGGCGAAGAAGAUGGCUCCAUACGGGAUACAACAAAUGAUAAGUUAUAGACUUAAAUAAAAAAUUUCUAAAUUUUUUUAUUGGUUUUUCCCUUGCGCAAGCGCAAGGCAAGAAGGUACGUUACCCCUCUAUACCUCCCUCGGGGAGGGUUAUCAUAGGAACGUUACCCCUCCAUACCUCCUUCGGGGAGGCUUAUAUGAAAUUCCGGGCAAACAAGAGGGUAACAACACUAUAACUACCCUAGGAACGUUAGCCCUCCAUACCUCCCUCGGGGAGGCUUACCGGACAAUAAACUCAGUAGUUCUAAGUAGUUCUAUAAGAUACUAAUAUAGAGCUAUGAAGUUAACGUUCGGGUGCUAUUCUCCAAAAGCCCCUCACUCUUCAUCUUUUCACUCUAUCUGGGUGUCGCUAAGGACCCACCUCCCUCAUCCUUUAAAAAUACGGGAGGUGGGCUUCGCGCACCCUAUAAACUAUCCAGCAGUUACGCUCGGGGGCUAUAGCCAAUAGCCCCCUCACUGGUAGUUACUUUUUUGCUGCUAAUAAGGCAAGGCUUACCAGACACUUUCUCGAAACAACCUAGGGAGCUUUACAACCUCACGCUUGCAACCGUAGGCGGGAGAUAGAUAUAAGCCUAACUUAAAAUCCAAUAAAAAGUCUAUAACGUAUCCCGGUGGUGGAUCAAAGCUGAGCUUUGACCCUCGUAGCCAUUAGGGGGAGGGUGUUUUCUCGUGCAUACAUAUAUUUUGGUGCUAUACCAUAUAUGAAUUUCCCAAAGGGCUAUAGAAAGAAAAAGGAUGUCUUUUUCGGCUAUAGAUCUUCUCCAUUUCUAGGUUUCUAGAAAUGUUGUAAAGUGGUACUCAAAAUCACUGUUAGUGUGAUCUCAGAGCGGAGUAUCAAGAGUUAAGUCUGAAACCUCUGGCAUUCUUACUUGUAGUUCAGAGCUUAAGAGAACGCUCACGGGGUUAACUGUCCGUGGCGGAUCAAUCUACUUACGUGAAUCAAAGGCUACAUGUGAACCACUUAAACACCCUACGGAAGUUGGCCUUAUAAGUUGUUUAACGAGAUCUUCUUGUGACAACUAUUAUAGGAGAUGUAGGUGCGAUAUCUUCUCCUCACUACUAGACUAUUAUAGGAUAUAUAGAUGACGCGAGAAGGCAGUGGUCCCUAUGACCCAGAUUACGCGGAAUCUCGAUAGAGAUUGAAGUAGGGGAUUAUGGCCUUGCGGGGCCAUAAAUCCUGUAGCUCAAGAACAAGAGAUAAGUCUGAGUGGCCAAGUUUCCGGGUAGGGUGCGGAACGGCAUACAAGCCAGCUUUAGAAUUCCACAUUGCAGGAAUUUAGUUGGAGGCUGUAACCCCGAUCCUUGUCCAGUAGGUCUCUUCAGCCCAACAUUCUUUUGACCGGAAGUGGCUCUGCUAACCAUCUG
rnacentral:lncRNA from 1 species